rnacentral:rRNA from 1 species
CGUGCCAGCAGCCGCGGUAAUUCAUAGGUCACAAGCGUUAUCCGGAAUUAUUGGGCGUAAAGCGUUCGUAGGCGGUUUGUUAAGUCUGGAGUUAAAGACUGGGGCUCAACCCCAGCCCGCUCUGGAUACUGGCUGACUAGAGUUACAUAGAGGUAAGUGGAAUUCUUAGUGGAGCGGUGGAAUGCGUAGAUAUUAGGAAGAACACCAAUGGCGAAGGCAGCUUACUGGAUGUACACUGACGCUCAGGGACGAAAGCGUGGGGAGCAAACAGGAUUAGAUACCCUGGUAGUCCACGCCGUAAACGAUGAUCAUUAGCCGCUAGAAUAUUUAGUGGCGCAGCUAACGCAUUAAAUGAUCCGCCUGAGUAGUAUGCUCGCAAGAGUGAAACUUAAAGGAAUUGACGGGGACCCGCACAAGCGGUGGAGCAUGUGGUUUAAUUUGAAGAUACGCGUAGAACCUUACCCACUCUUGACAUCUUCCGCAAUACUAUGGAGACAUAGUGGAGGUUAACGGAAUGACAGAUGGUGCAUGGUUGUCGUCAGCUCGUGCCGUGAGGUGUUAGGUUAAGUCCUGCAACGAGCGCAACCCCUGUCUUUAGUUACUAACGGAUAAUGCCGAGGACUCUAGAGAGACUGACUGGGUAACCAGUAGGAAGGUGGGGACGACGUCAAAUCAUCAUGCCUCUUACGAGUGGGGCAACACAUGUGCUACAAUGGACGGUACAAAGAGAAGCAAUAUGGUGACAUGGAGCAAACCUCAAAAAACCGUUCUCAGUUCGGAUUGAAGUCUGAAACUCGACUUCAUGAAGUUGGAAUCGCUAGUAAUCGUAGAUCAGCUACGCUACGGUGAAUACGUUCUCGGGUCUUGUACACACCGCCCGUC